rnacentral:rRNA from 1 species
UACGGAGGGUGCGAGCGUUGUCCGGAAUCACUGGGCGUAAAGGGCGCGUAGGCGGCCUGUUAAGUAGGGGGUGAAAUCCUGCGGCUUAACCGCAGGGCUGCCUUCUAAACUGUCAGGCUCGAGCACAGUAGAGGCAGGUGGAAUUCCCGGUGUAGCGGUGGAAUGCGUAGAUAUCUGGAGGAACACCGGUGGCGAAGGCGGCAUCCUGGACCAAUACUGACGCUGAGGAGCGAAAGCCAGGGGAGCAAACGGG